UACGUAGGGUGCGAGCGUUGCCCGGAUUUAUUGGGCGUAAAGGGCGCGUAGGCGGCCACGCACGUCCGUUGUGAAAUCGCCCGGCUCAACUGGGCGGGGUCAGCGGAUACGGUGUGGCUCGAGCAAGCUAGGGGGCAAUGGAAUUCCCGGUGUAGUGGUGGAAUGCGUAGAUAUCGGGAGGAACACCAGUGGCGAAGGCGGUUGCCUGGAGCUUUGCUGACGCUGAUGCGCGAAAGCGUGGGGAGCGAGUCCGG
rnacentral:rRNA from 1 species